GAUGGAUUCAGAUAGCAUGCAUGUCUAAGUAUAAAUGAUAUACAGUGAAACUGCGAAUGGCUCAUUAAAACAGUUAUAGUUUAUUUGAUAAUCGAAUUUACAUGGAUAACCGUGGUAAUUCUAGAGCUAAUACAUGCUGUUAAGCCUGACUUUUAGGAAGGGCUGUAUUUAUUAUAUAACAAACCAAUAUUCCUUGUGUCUAUUGUGAUGACUCAUAAUAACUGAUCGAAUCGCAUGGACUUUGUCCGCGAUAAAUCAUUCAAGUUUCUGCCCCAUCAGCUUUCGAUGGUAGUGUAUUGGACUACCAUGGCUUUCACGGGUGACGGAGGAUUAGGGUUCGAUUCCGGAGAGGGAGCCUGAGAAACGGCUACCACAUCUAAGGAAGGCAGCAGGCGCGUAAAUUACCCAAUCCUGACUCAGGGAGGUAGUGACAAGAAAUAACGGACCGAAGCUCACGCUUCGGGAUUGCAAUGAGUAGAAUUUAAACCCCUUUACGAGGAUCAAUUGGAGGAAGGGCCCGGGAA
rnacentral:rRNA from 1 species